UUUCUUUCCGGCAGCACAUAUAAUAAAAUUGGAACGAUACAGAGAAGAUUAGCAUGGCCCCUGCGCA
rnacentral:snRNA from 1 species